rnacentral:rRNA from 1 species
AUUCGCGGCCUAUCAGCUUGUUGGUGAGGUAACGGCUCACCAAGGCGACGACGGGUAGCUGGUCUGAGAGGACGACCAGCCACACUGGGACUGCGACACGGCCCAGACUCCUACGGGAGGCAGCAGUGGGGAAUCUUGCGCAAUGGGCGAAAGCCUGACGCAGCGACGCCGCGUGGGGGAUGAAGGCCCUCGGGUUGUAAACCCCUUUCGGCAGGGACGAAGCGAACGUGACGGUACCUGCAGAAGAAGCCUCGGCUAACUACGUGCCAGCAGCCGCGGUAAGACGUAGGAGGCGAGCGUUGUCCGGAUUCAUUGGGCGUAAAGAGCGCGCAGGCGGCUUGGUAAGUCGGAUGUGAAAACCCGGGGCUCAACCCAGGGCGUGCACCCGAUACUGCCCGGCUAGAGGUAGGUAGGGGAGAUCGGAAUUCCUGGUGUAGCGGUGAAAUGCGCAGAUAUCAGGAGGAACACCGGUGGCGAAGGCGGAUCUCUGGGCCUUACCUGACGCUCAGGCGCGAAAGCUAGGGGAGCGAACAGGAUUAGAUACCCUGGUAGUCCUAGCCGUAAACGUUGGGUGCUAGGUGUGGGCGGACAUCGACCCCGUCCGUGCCGAAGCUAACGCAUUAAGCACCCCGCCUGGGGAGUACGGAAU